UGAAAAAUGCCUGAGUUGGAGUUAGCUAAAUGGAGGUGUGGUUGAGUGAGAGGGGCCAUGAUUAGCAAAAGAAAGAGCUUGAGCCAAGAGGUGAAAGCAAGAAAGUGUAUCCUGAAGGACAUAGAAGGGACAAGAGGCAGGAAGGCUUUCUCUGGUAUCCUAAAGAGUUUGGGCUUGACCCUGGAUGGAGAACUGCUAGGAGAAUUUGGGUAAGGCAAAGACACAACUAUUACAUUUUAGAAAAAAAUGAUACCACUGGCAAUACAGAAAAUGUAUCAAAGUUGAAGCCACUGGGUACAUCAUGGUUCAAGUCGCUGAGAAUGAGAACUGAUAGAGACCUAAGGGGGUGGCAAGUAGAGGGGAAUUCAUGAUGAACUCAGUUUGGAAUAUGUUGAAUUCACAUAUUCAGAGAAAUGUUUAGGGUAGUGGGGAAGACAAGAUUUGGGCAUAAGAGAGAGAAGAAAAAUUUGAGAGGUUGAGAUUGUGCAGUGCUUUAUCAUAGCAUGUAUGAUCUCUUGACACAUUCUUUAUUUCAUGUCUUCCCUGACUAGAAAUAAACUUCACGAGGGUGAGAACUUUGCUUUAUUUCCACCAUCUAGAACUGUGCCUGAACCACAGGGAGCACUCAGGAAAAAUUUACUGAAAAGAUGAAUUAUUCAGAAUUGUAGUUGAAAAGGUGUCUUCAGAGGAGUUUACUUACAUGCAGUGGACAUGAAAUAGGGCAUAGAGUGAAACCGUAGGCAAAACAUUGGGUGGAUAAUGUCAUUUGAUGCCAAAAAAGAAGCACUGAGGAAUUAGGAAAAACAAGAGAUAAUGAGGUCCCAGGUGACAAUGGAAGCAGUUGUGGAAAACUGCUUUAAAUGUCAUAGAGCACUCAGAAGGAAUUCAUAAAUGACCUCAUAAAGAAGUCCACUGUGGUUUCCCUGCAGAGGUGGGAAUAGAAUCAGAGUGCUAAGGAUUGAGGGAUUAAGAGGAGGUGAUUGUAUUAUUCCUCUUUUCAGAUAAUGGAGAGAGAGAAGAGAACAGCAGUAGCCGUUGCCAGAAAUAUUGAGCAAGGCGGAUUUAUUAGAUGAAGAUAUCAAAAUACUUUCCAUUGAGGAAACAGGUUGGAGGUGGGAGGCUGUAACCAUGCUUGAUUUUGUACCACCCUAACCUUUGCUUUUGUUGGUGGCAUAUAUAAUGAGUGCUGGGUGUUAAGGAAGCAAUGGUGAAGGAGAGACACCCUCCCGACCCUCAUGGUGCUUGCAGCCUAGUGGAGCUAUGAAAAGAUAGGCAAGUGAGUCCUAUGAUUGGAGAAGUAAUGAGAAGUAAUGAGAAGCGUCUUCUAAGCAUAGGGGUAAAGACUGCAAAGACCCUGAAGGGAGAAAGUAAUGGCCAUUCUGAGAACUGAAAGUUUGCACAGUGCACAGAGGGCAUGAAGAACGAAGGAAAGAGAUUUUUUUUUUUUUUUUUUUGCCCAAGAUGGCAAGUUGCUUAAAACCUAAAGCUCCUUUCAAUUCUUUACAAUCCAAGAUUAUAUGGAAUGGACUGGGAACAAAGAGAGGGACUGGCAUUUAAAGUCUUUUAUACACUUUGGAACAAAUGUUAUUCUCCAUUCAUCCUGACACUAAAUUGGUUAGCCAAACCCAAAGAUCUACUAAUAAUCCUGCUUUGGCAUGGGAGAAUGAGUGAGAUAAGGAGGCAAUAGAGGAGAUGAAUCGACAAAUGGAAGGAAUAGAAUUCUGGUUGAUGUCCUUGUCUCUAAGCUGUAGCAGCAAGUAUUUAUCCUAAUCAUGUGGUGUUAGCACGGAGAUGAGAAAGAGAGAAAGACAACAUCAUGCUUUGCUGUCUGUGUGUGAACUGAGUAACAGCUGUGAAGGAUCAGUCACCAAAAGACUUUGAAAGAAGAGGCUUGAUUGGUCACGGUAAUGAUGCUCCCCUGGCCAUGGAAGUUUAAUUGGGAGAAAAGAACAUCUGCUUAUACGAAAACAUAUUAUAUUCAGCCAUCCCUGCCCUGACUUUGGCCUUUAAAAACAGUGGCAUUAAUUAUCUCAACAAAUGAAUCUUCGGGAUAAAAAUAAUCUAAAUAUUAUUUUACGCUUACUACAUAUUUGCAACGUGCUAAGCUCUUUAUGGUUGCUACCACAAAAAACAUUUAUAAUAUGAGGUGGGUAUUUUUAUUAUAUACAUUUUCAGUUUAAAGACAGUAACUUCAGAAUGUAACUUGUCCUAGUCACACAAAAGCAGGUGUGGACUAAAACUCAAACCCAUGAUUCUUUCACUUUAAAUGAUAUGGUUCUGAACCAUUAAAUUCGAAUGCUACUAAGAAUGGUGAAUGCUAAGCAAUGUUAAGCUACACAUUGUUAUUAUUAACAAAUAAUUUCAAAAGGGCAGGAGAGGUAGGUUAAAAAUUAAAGGGUUAAGCUGGAAUAACAUGUCAAAUUUCUCAGAGUUUUUUAUUUUCAUGAAAAAAUAUAUUUUAUAUUGCAACAGAAUGAACUUGACUUAACAGUUUAGGUAGCUGAUUGCAUAUAUUUUGAUAGUCCUAUCAUAUUUCCAACAAAUACAUUUUCUCCCCACCCCACCUGCAACUGGAGACUUCACAAGGUUAGGAACAGGCUUCACUUCAUUGUGAUGUGUGUAAGGUGACAGAGGACAUAUAACGAAUACGUGGAAGAACUAGGAAUUUGACCUUAGCUUCCAGACAUUUUGAGGAGGAUACACUAUGUCCAUCUUGCUUUCCUAUCAAGAAAAGUAUACCCAGUUUGUGCAGUAGCCCUGUACCAACAGAUACAUUACAGCAGGUUGUUUCCGUAUUUUGGCUAUUGUGAAUAGUGCUGCAAUAAACAUGGAAGUGCUGAUAUAUCUUUGAGAUCUUGACUUCAAACAAAAGAAGAAAAUCUUGCAAUAUAUGACAACACGGAUUAACCUGGAGGACAUUGUGCUUAGUGAAGUUAGCCAGUCACAGACUGACAAGUACUGCACGAUUCCACUUAUGAAGACUACAGUUCCUAUCUUCACAGGUGGCUGUUAGCUCUAAAUGAACUCAUUUAUUUUGAAAGCAUGAUUUAAAGUAUAGUUUUAAACUAUAAGCAUUUCAGAAGUGAUGACCCAUGACUCAAAUCUCAAAAAUAAAUGCUACAGUUCACAGUUGGAAUAUGGACACAAGAAAAAUAAUAGGUGAGUAAAAAAAGAAUUUUUACCACAGAACAAAAGUUUAUUAAACACAAUUAUGAAUGAAUAUUAAUGUCAACAGAGUGCUUUUUAGAUGCCUCCUAAGCUUUGUAUGCACCUAAAAGAGAUACAAGUCAGCUCAGCUGCUAAGGAAUAGGCAGACCAGAAUGCAGUCAGAGAAAUAAACAGUUGAACAGAUAAUUCCAAAAGGAUGUGAUAAGUGUUAUGGGGGGAAUUCGGAGAAAGUGCCGAGGCAUCACACAGGAGAGACCAGCUGUCCCUGGCAUAGCUGGUGGAGAUCUUAUUAAACAACGAUACUAAGGCUGACUCUUGACUAUGAAACGAAUUUCACAGAGAAACAAGCAAAAAAGCAAUAGAAAUAUUAAUUUGUGUACCCUAUUUCAUGACAAUUAUAUACAAAAACAGAACGUUCAAAGCCUUAGGCAAUAAAACUGAUAUUUCUUGCAACAGGCUUUGGCCAAAAAAGAGUGCAGUUCUGUGAUGAAUAUCAGCUUCAUCAACAUGCCCCAGGCACCGUGAUGUCCCUCCUCUGCUCUGCUGCAUAACAGGGUGGAGACCAAAUCCAACAGUAUGAACAAGCAUCCAUCAAAACCACAGUUCUAUUAUUGAGACCAUUUCUGAUUGAAUUUCCUCAGCAGACUAUCCAAGUCGUCAUGUUCAUCAAGGUAUUCAAUUUAAAUGACCAUUAAAACGAAAUUAAGUUGGUAUUAACCUUGUCUUUUCAGAUGAUGCCACUGAAAGGUAAACAUACCAUUCUGACAUGCAUGAAAAUGAAACGACAAAUUGAUACACGCAGUGCUUGGAAUGGAUGGAGUCCUUCUAAUGAGUGAUUACCUGUGGUAUAACUAUAUUGAUUGUGUUUGUACAUGUCAAAUGGGGCUGGCGAGGAUGAACUUGAAGAAAUCAAUCUUGGAACCUGCUAGGACAGCAGCCUCCUGGUUUCACAGUACUAAAUCAUGACUUCAAAAUUUUGAAGUAAAAGAAAACUGCAAAACUUUGUAAAGGUACCAGUCUCUUCCUGACACUAUUUGCCUUGGCAAAAGAUUCACUGUCAACUUAAAAGACUAACAUGUGCUCAGAUGAUGAUUUGUGGAGGACAGAUAAUUAUGAGUACAUUUAGAAAUACACACUCUUCCAAACCCUGCUCUUUCCAUAUAAUGAAGUUAUUUAUUUCUAUUUUUUAUUUAUUUUUCUAAUAAUUACAAACAUACUUUGGAGACCCACAUUCCUGUAUUAUUCUUUCAACAUACUGAAGAAGAGUUAUUUCUAUGCUUCUUUCUAUGUGUUGGGCUUAAGAUUUAUUAGAAGGAAUGUGUAAAAACAAAGGCAGCAAAGUUUCUAUUUUUAUUGGGAGUCACUCCCGGAGUAAGUGGGGAUAGUUGUGCACACACACACACACACAUUCAUGCACAAAGAAAGAGUGAUCAAGUGUAUAACACACUUUUAGCAGUGUUUUGCUGGAAGAAUAAAGUAUAACUCCUUGUCCGCCCUUUUAUUAUACUGGGGUUCACACUAAGAGAGUCUGAGGACCUGUGGAACUCCCAUUUGCAUGAAAUAACUUUUGCAUCUAUUCUGGAGGAAAACUUCCUAAGGCAGAUUUGGACAGAAAAUUGCUAUCAGCGCAAAUAAAACAAUGCAAAGCCUACUCCGGGGAACGUUGCUCUGCCACCACUACUGAAAUGGGUCAUCCCCUUGGUUUCUGAAUAAAGAAUUAUGAAACCUGGGGCUAGAAUGCUCAGGGAGGAAUUUACCAAUCCAAAUCUUCCCCUUAUGGUAGAGAACAAACUUUCAAGGUUUGUUCUCCACUGUAAGUGUGCGAGGGCUGUUAGGGACCGUAAUAUGGCUGCCGGAGACUGGUGUGUGUACCUCCUUGACUGUACGUCUCAUUUCCAGUUAUGAUUUUACAAUCAUCUCUUUCUCAACCUUUGCUUUUAAAUAUAGGAAGGUACGGCUCACCAUGGAGCGGACAUUUUCUUCAGGAGCGGUACGGUGUCUAAGAUAUGCAGAGGUUGUAUUCUAGUCCUAUAACUCAAUUCUCAAACACAUGGCUUUUAGCCAGGGAUAUCCUAAAGGAAAAUUACACUAUAUGCAACCCCUCCUUACUCCUCAAAUAUUAUCUAUAUUAAACACAGCUGAAAUUUGAGAGUGUCCUUACAGGUGAAAAUUUAACAAUUUAACAAAAGGACACUGCUGAAUGUGUGGGGACAAAGGAAGGAUGAAUCUUUCAUCAUGACAAAAGACUACUUGCCACAUUCUCCCUUAACUUAGAAAAACAGAAAAGAGGCUGGGCGUGGUGGCUCCUGCCUGUAACCUCAGCACUUUGGGAG
rnacentral:lncRNA from 1 species